UACGGAGGGUGCAAGCGUUGUUCGGAUUCACUGGGUUUAAAGGGUGCGUAGGCGGAUAGGUAAGUCCGUGGUGAAAUCCUGCAGCUUAACUGCAGAACUGCCAUGGAUACUAUUUAUCUUGAAUAUCGUGGAGGUUAGCGGAAUAUGUCAUGUAGCGGUGAAAUGCUUAGAUAUGACAUAGAACACCCAUUGCGAAGGCAGCUAACUACGCGAUAAUUGACGCUGAUGCACGAAAGCGUGGGGAUCAAACAGG
rnacentral:rRNA from 1 species